rnacentral:tRNA from 1 species
GAGGGUAUCGCUCACGUGGUAGAACGCAUGGUUAGCAUUCAUGAGGUCCUGGGUUCAAUCCCCAGUACGUCCU